GAUGAACGCUGGCGGCGUGCCUAAUACAUGCAAGUCGAGCGAACGGACGAGAAGCUUGCUUCUCUGAUGUUAGCGGCGGACGGGUGAGUAACACGUGGAUAACCUACCUAUAAGACUGGGAUAACUUCGGGAAACCGGAGCUAAUACCGGAUAAUAUUUUGAACCGCAUGGUUCAAAAGUGAAAGACGGUCUUGCUGUCACUUAUAGAUGGAUCCGCGCUGCAUUAGCUAGUUGGUAAGGUAACGGCUUACCAAGGCAACGAUGCAUAGCCGACCUGAGAGGGUGAUCGGCCACACUGGAACUAAGACACGGUCCAGACUCCUACGGGAGGCAGCAGUAGGGAAUCUUCCGCAAUGGGCGAAAGCCUGACGGAGCAACGCCGCGUGAGUGAUGAAGGUCUUCGGAUUGUAAAACUCUGUUAUUAGGGAAGAACAUAUGUGUAAGUAACUGUGCACAUCUUGACGGUACCUAAUCAGAAAGCCACGGCUAACUACGUGCCAGCAGCCGCGGUAAUACGUAGGUGGCAAGCGUUAUCCGGAAUUAUUGGGCGUAAAGCGCGCGUAGGCGGUUUUUUAAGUCUGAUGUGAAAGCCCACGGCUCAACCGUGGAGGGUCAUUGGAAACUGGAAAACUUGAGUGCAGAAGAGGAAAGUGGAAUUCCAUGUGUAGCGGUGAAAUGCGCAGAGAUAUGGAGGAACACCAGUGGCGAAGGCGACUUUCUGGUCUGUAACUGACGCUGAUGUGCGAAAGCGUGGGGAUCAAACAGGAUUAGAUACCCUGGUAGUCCACGCCGUAAACGAUGAGUGCUAAGUGUUAGGGGGUUUCCGCCCCUUAGUGCUGCAGCUAACGCAUUAAGCACUCCGCCUGGGGAGUACGACCGCAAGGUUGAAACUCAAAGGAAUUGACGGGGACCCGCACAAGCGGUGGAGCAUGUGGUUUAAUUCGAAGCAACGCGAAGAACCUUACCAAAUCUUGACAUCCUUUGACAACUCUAGAGAUAGAGCCUUCCCCUUCGGGGGACAAAGUGACAGGUGGUGCAUGGUUGUCGUCAGCUCGUGUCGUGAGAUGUUGGGUUAAGUCCCGCAACGAGCGCAACCCUUAAGCUUAGUUGCCAUCAUUAAGUUGGGCACUCUAAGUUGACUGCCGGUGACAAACCGGAGGAAGGUGGGGAUGACGUCAAAUCAUCAUGCCCCUUAUGAUUUGGGCUACACACGUGCUACAAUGGACAAUACAAAGGGCAGCGAAACCGCGAGGUCAAGCAAAUCCCAUAAAGUUGUUCUCAGUUCGGAUUGUAGUCUGCAACUCGACUACAUGAAGCUGGAAUCGCUAGUAAUCGUAGAUCAGCAUGCUACGGUGAAUACGUUCCCGGGUCU
rnacentral:rRNA from 1 species